CUCAAAAAAAAAAAGCCCUAAAUAAAUAAAUAAAUGCUAAAAUAAGGCUUAAAACCUGUUUAGAAACGAGUGGAAGUAACCUGGCCAAACCGCAGAAAUAACUGAGUGUAGCAGGCAGAAGAGAAGCCACCAUUGCAAACACAUUGAUGAAGAAAUUCAGAACCAUGUAGAGCACAUGGAAGAUUUUCAACCUAGCAACCUGAAAAUCUGAAAUAAGGAAUACAAAUCCAGACAUCAAGAAAAGGAAAAAUAUCAAGUAGUAUAUUUAAUUAGUACAGGGAUAAUUUUGAAACUAAUAAAGUACAAUAAAUUUUGCUGUGUAAUUAGAAAGAAAAGAAGGAAGCUAUAAGAGAUUUUGGUAAUGUUGACCUCUCUGUUCAACCCUGGAAUGGCCAUCUUUUAAACAUCUUUGUAAAAGGAUGAUUUGUGAAUGCUGGAAAUGUGUGACUAAGGCUGCAACGUACAUUCUGUCAUCUGUGAGAGACCAACCAGUUAACAACGGAAAAAUUUAAAAAGUGCAUUUAAGAGAAGUAGAGAAGAUGGCAGAAACAUAAGAUGGUGGCUAUUCAUAGUAAUACAUGAACUAGACCUUUUAGUGAUCCAGCUUUUGGACUACACAAAUAAAAACAUGCCAAGCUCUACGUCUGGCAUUCAGUGGAAGACAAUUACACCUGUGGUAAACUUCCCUCUUUUUCACCAGCAAAGGGACUUUCAGAGACAGCAUGCUGCUCAGUGUCACACCUCAUGUGACAAUAUGGAACCAGGACUCUGAGUCCUCUUUGAAGGAGUGAGAGUUGAAGAAAGUCACAACCAUAAAAGUGCAACACUGUGGUAUUUGGAUGGAAAGUCCCCAAAGCUGCAUAGCCUCAACAUCUGAGCUCUGACUGGUCAUCCCAGCCCGGUGACUCUGAUCUUGUGCAAUCCAUCACCCACAUUCCAAAGCUUUGAGAGGAUUAACCACUAACCACAAGCAGUGAAAUAAAUCACUUGCCAUAGGGUAGAAUGGUUUUGGAAAACGGGCAUACAUCAAAUUAUUUGGUUAACCCUUUCUCCUGACAAAUUUCUCCUUUGAGCAUCAGCUGCAGUCUUUGCUUUACUGUUAUCCCAGUCUCUCUUCCUCAUGAUGAAUAAAGAUAGGGCACUUGAA